rnacentral:rRNA from 1 species
AACGAACGCUGGCGGCAGGCUUAACACAUGCAAGUCGAGCGCAUCCUUCGGGGUGAGCGGCGGACGGGUGAGUAACGCGUGGGAACGUGCCCUCUUCUACGGAAUAGCCUCGGGAAACUGAGAGUAAUGCGGUAUACGCCCGCAAGGGGAAAGAUUUAUCGAAGGAGGAUAGGCCCGCGUUGGAUUCGGUAGUUGGUGGGGUAACGGACUACUAAGCCGACGAUCCAUAGCUGGUUUUAGGGGAAGGUCAUCCACACUGGCAGUGAGACACCGCCGAGACUCCUACGGGAUGCAGCAGUGGGGAAUCUUGGACAAUGGGGGCAACCCUGAUCCAGCCAGGCCGCGUGAUCGAUGAAGGCCUUAGGGUUGUAAAGAUCUUUCAGCUGUGAAGAUAAUGACGGUACCAGCAGAAGAAGCCCCGGCUAACUCCGUG